UUUUAAUAACAAAUUAGUUUAUGCAAUCAUUAUAUUUCGAUCUACAGAGGCAUUCAUUAGCACGUUGAUCAUAUGUUAAAGAUGAUAUCCUUAAUUUUAGUGGUUAUUGUGUUAAUCACAUGACGUGAGUGACAAUUUCAUGUUUUAAAGUUAGCAAUAGUCAUUUUCAGAGGUGAGGACUUGGAAGCGAGACUGACGAUCCGUGUGGUGUGAGUCUUCGUUAUUAGUUUCCAAGUGUUCAAAUUCAUCUGGACGAAUAUUUAGGGAGGAGAUAUAGAUAAUAAAUCGUCGUACACAUUAUCUACAAUGGAAAGAUCAGGCAAAUCACGAGGAGGAGAUGGAGUAGGAGAAUCAUUUAAAGAUGUGGGCAUUUUUUCAGUAUUAAGACAUUUGAUCUCAAACUCUUUGGCUAUAGCAAUGAAAUCAUCGAGUUCCUCUUGAAUAACUUUUACCUCUCCAUGAUACAAGAAGGAAAUGAGCAACUCCAAAUGAUCGACGUUAAUUCCUUUAAGAUAAAUCCAGGGAUGCGUCUGAGGUGGUGCAGAUUUAAUGAUGGAACGGAACACAGGAGAACAUGCACUGAGAACAACCUUAUGAGCUUUGAUUUGCCUUGACCCAGUUAUGAGUGUCACAUCAAAAAGUUCUUCAUUUUCAUAAAGAUCAGAAAGACUUUCUCUAGAAUUGGAGUCGAACGAAUUCCAUUUAAGAGAAAGAUGCUCUAUGGAUCCCAUCUCCGAUUUUAACUAUGUUAUUAUCCUAAUAAGAUUAAGUAUUUAAUAUUUAUUCAUAUUUAAUUGUCAUUUUAGAUUUGCCACUCUAAUAAAACUUCAUACAAUUGUA
rnacentral:lncRNA from 1 species